GGUGUGUCCAGUGCUGAGGUUCUUGCAGGUCAUCCACAGGGGGAUAGUGGUCUGGGAGCCUCUUAUAGCCAGCCGGGACCUAUUGAAUCAGGUGAAGACUCUUGUGAUGAGGGCCCUUCACCAUCACACAUGCAGCAUAGUGUGUCCAGGGCUGAUGUUCUUGCAGGCCAUCCACAGGGGGAUAGUGGUGUGCGAGCCUCUUAUAGCCGGCCCGGACCUAUUGAUAUUUCACAGUCAAGAGCAACAGGACCCACUCAACCCCAGUUAAAGCUGUAUCCAAAAACCAUGCAAGGGGAGAAGAGGAGGUCGUUCAAUCCAUCCUGC